rnacentral:rRNA from 1 species
CCUACGGGAGGCAGCAGUGGGGGAUAUUGCACAAUGGGGGGAACCCUGAUGCAGCGACGCCGCGUGGGUGAAGAAGCGCCUCGGCGCGUAAAGCCCUGUCAGCAGGGAAGAAAAUGACGGUACCUGAAGAAGAAGCCCCGGCUAACUACGUGCCAGCCGCCGCGGUAAUACGUAGGGGGCAAGCGUUAUCCGGAUUUACUGGGGGGAAAGGGGGCGCAGGCGGCGAUGCAAGCCAGGAGUGAAAGCCCGGGGCCCAACCCCGGGACUGCUCUUGGAACUGCGUGGCUGGAGUGCAGGAGGGGCAGGCGGAAUUCCUGGUGUAGCGGUGAAAUGCGUAGAUAUCAGGAGGAACACCGGUGGCGAAGGCGGCCUGCUGGACUGCAACUGACGUUGAGGCCCGAAAGCGUGGGGAGCAAACAGGAUUAGAUACCCCAGUAGUC